rnacentral:rRNA from 1 species
UACAGAGGUGGCAAGCGUUGUUCGGAAUUACUGGGCGUAAAGGGCGCGUAGGCGGCCUUCUAAGUCAGACGUGAAAUCCCCCGGCUUAACCUGGGAACUGCGUCUGAUACUGGGAGGCUUGAGUAUGGGAGAGGGAUGUAGAAUUCCAGGUGUAGCAGUGAAAUGCGUAGAUAUCAGGAGGAAUACCGAUGGCGAAGGCAGGUCUCUGGGCUGACACUGACGCUCAUGCACGAAAGCGUGGGGAGCAAACAGG